rnacentral:rRNA from 1 species
GGCGCAACCCCGGCCCGCCCCCCGAACCCCGCGGCUCGGGUCCGGUAGGGGAGGGUGGAACACCCGGUGUAGCGGUGGAAUGCGCAGAUAUCGGGUGGAACACCGGUGGCGAAGGCGGCCAUCUGGGCAGAGACCGACGCUGAGGCGCGAAAGCUGGGGGAGCGAA